GCUGAACUGGAGAAAAGGUGGGGGUUAAGAGGCUAAAAGCUGUAACUCACUUGUUUUUCAGGUGGACUCCCCUCCCUGGUGCCGUACCCCAGUCUGAGAACAGGCUCGCCCCGACGGAUGCUCCUGUCCUCCAAACACUCCAUCUACAUCUCCCCUCACAAGAACAGCCCCAGCUCCUCCCCGUCGCCCGCGAAGGACAAGCUCUGCUACUUCAUCUGCACCAGCCCUCACAACCGUCUGGAGGAGAUCAACUCCAUGAUUCGCUCCGGAGAGAGUCCAACAGGAAGCGAGCCGUGGCGCUGAACGAAGAGGAGCCCACGCCCAAACGGCUGUGUCCCGACGGCUCGGCUCUGCUCCGGAGGCUGCAGGACGUGGCCACGACCGCAACAACAACCACUGAGAGGAAAUCGACGAGCCCACGCAAAGAAACAUGCACAACGGGCUAACCAUCCAGUGAGUUAGGUACUCCUCACCGAGUAGUUUAGGAUUCAGACCAGCGCGGCUUCCUGCCCAGUCUUCCUCUCCCCAGCAGAGGCCAAGUAAAUUCACUUAAGCACAGUAUUUAAGGAGAGUUGUUUUUUUAAGGGUCUAUACCAAGAGUAGGCCUGGGUACCGUUACAUUUUUUUUUCCGAUACCGGUACUUUAACGAUACUUGGUUUUCGAUACUGAUACCUGAACGAUACUUUUUCCGAUACCUAUACUAAAAUAUUUGUCAUCUAGAGCCAGAAAACAAGACAAUAAUGUGUGGAAGAUCUGCAAAUGUACAAUAUCGGGUUCUUCUCCGAUGUCAAGGAAUGUGUGAAAAUGGGGAAUAAUUUUGGAAAAAAUGGGAGAAAUUGUGGCAAAAUAAGGGGGGAGAAAAAUAAAUAAAUUUUAAAAAAUGCGGGGAAUAGGGAAAUAUUUGUAUUUAAAAAUGACCAAAAAUUAGAGGAAAAAAUUGGGAGAAUGAGAGAAAAUUGGGGGAAAUUUUUAUAAAAUAGGGUCAAUAUUCGUAUUCAAAAAUGAGGGGGGAAAAUUUGGAAAAUGAGAAAAUUUGGGGCAAAUAAGAUUAAAAAUUGGGGAAAAUGGGCACACAUUGGUCAAAAAUGUUUGAAACCAUAAGGGGGGAAAUUAAAUUGGGGAAACAAUAAAAUAGGGCGGAAAAUGGGAAAAUUCUGCUUUAAUGCUGUCCCUGGACCAACAGCAUCAAAAUGUGGUUCUAAAGAUAUAAGAUUUAUUUUCAGUACCUGCUUUGGAUACUUUAAUUUUUUCCACACCGGUAGUACCUGAACUUUUUUCCCCAAUACCAACUGGUAUUAAUGGUACUCAGCCCUACAAAUAGGUAAGUUUUGUUGGUCCACGAGAUGAUUUCUUACUUAUGUUUUAAGCAACUACAUCUCUCUUGAGGCACCGAUAACGUGGCUGAUGUGCUGGUGAAAUUGUAAUUGGUCACUUCCCAAAUAUUUGACAACUCUCUCGAGGUUAGGGGUACUUGAGUAAAAUGGUCCAAGGCGUCCGCAAUACCAAAAAGUGUGGAGACAACUGAAUAAGACAAUCUAUUAAUUUACUGGGCAAUUGCAACUAAGAAUACCCUGAGACUCUAGCACUUAUUGUUUCUAUAUAUUUCUGUAACGGCACUGCUCUAUUAACUCACAAUGGUGAAAGUGCAUUGGUAGUUUUUAUAUUUCAACAACUUUAACUGACUGAUUAACAGGAAAAUGAAGCUAAAAUAGACAUGCUUUGUAAAAUAUGUAGUUUUUUUUAAUCUAUUUUUAUUCACGCAAAACUCCAUCUGCAGGUGGUGCCUUUUAUCCGGGGAACGCUGUUUCACGUUUUAAGCUUUUAACAAUAUUUAAUCAUGAUUUUAGUGCACGAGCAUCAACUAAACCACUGUCUAACGUUCAGUCCUCGCACUUGCUCCGAGUUGUUUGUCUUUUGGUUUUUGUGUAGACUGUAAAUAUGUGUAAAAUAGACAGAGAUGAAGUUAUUUUAUCAUGAACGAAGGACGCGUAAAGUGCCUGUUUUUGUACUUCUGAAGCCUUGUCACGCAACUACUGUAAAAGAAGAAAAAAAAGCUGUGUAAUAAAGGAAAAAAGAGCACUUGUGGUUUUGA
ensembl:lncRNA